rnacentral:rRNA from 1 species
GAUGAACGCUGGCGGCGUGCCUAACACAUGCAAGUCGAACGGGUGUGGUAUCAGGGAAAAGGGGUUUACUUCUUUGACCAGAUAACACACUAGUGGCGGACGGGUGAGUAACGCGUGGAUAACCUGCCUUAUACAGGGGGAUAACAGGGAGUAAAUUCUUGCUAAUACCCCAUAGGUAUGUCUGACGCAUGUUGGACAUAUUAAAGCUUUGGCGGUAUAAGAUGGGUCCGCGUCUGAUUAGCUAGUUGGUGGGGUAAAGGCCCACCAAGGCGACGAUCAGUAGCCGGCUUGAGAGAGUGGACGGCCACAUUGGGACUGAGACACGGCCCAAACUCCUACGGGAGGCAGCAGUGGGGAAUAUUGCACAAUGGGGGAAACCCUGAUGCAGCGACGCCGCGUGAAGGAAGAAGGUCCUCGGAUCGUAAACUUCUAUCAGCAGGGAAGAAGGAAGUGACAGUACCUGAGUAAGAAGCCCCGGCUAACUACGUG